GGCAGCGGUGGUUAGUUAGCUGACGAACUGAUUCCCAAGCUUGACUUCAUACAUCCACCAUGCGUUCAUACAUUUCGACGUCCGUUGACUGUCUGUCCGUCUGUCCGUCCGUCGGUUUUCUGUUUCGUUGGCUCAUAAAUAGUAAUUUGUGUUAAUUGUGAUAUAAAAAACGAUAAACUAAUCGGCCCCCAACAACAACAACAGCAACAACAGCAACAGCACUAACAACUGAAAUGAAAUCGCCUUGCCUGCAAUUAUUGCAACAACAACUACACCACCAGGCAACGAAUGCUGCAUUUGUACCCCUCAACAACAACAACAACCACAGAGUUCCUUGGAAAAUUAAUAUCAUUUUACGAAAAUAACAAUGGAGUUAUCAGGGAAUUGUUAAAUGCAACACAAACAAACAAAAAAAAACAGAAAUAAAAACCAAUUUACAUUUUUCUACAAAUCUCAACAAACGAACUUCCGCAGAGAUGGGCAAUACACAUUUAUCAAAUUUAAAUUUUUUUUGUAGACAAUCGAAUGGAAUCUCUGAAGCUGAAAGCCACACCACAAGUAGUUAUAGGUGGCGAUUGAAAGAAUAAUCAACAAUCUUAGUAUUCUGUGGCUUGUUGGCAAAUUUGAUCAUUAAUUUUUUCAUUGUCAACUUAGCCAUCUCUGGCCUAUGGCUUUUCAUAUAAACAAGAAAUAAAUUUUACUUUGAUGAA